rnacentral:miRNA from 1 species
UGCCCUAUGGAUUCAGUUCUGC